CAGGAAGAAGGCUGCUACUAACAGAGGCAGACAGCCACAGAACACACUGUUUCCAGAGCCGCCCCGGGAAGAAGAGUAAGAGGGCCUGAUUCUGUGAGGGGCUGAAUGCUGUCCAACCUCACUAAUUUCAACUGGCGAAGAGUGCUCAGCACCUUACAGGAAUAGUUCAUUAGCUUGCAUUUCCCUCAUCCACUCCAUCUUUGCAUCAGGACACACCAUUGGAGCAGAGGAAUAUCUUUCCAGGGGGAUAAACAGGUGCUUAGGAGCUUGUGAUGGGGUGUACUUGCCCCUCACUGGACAAGAAACCCCACACUCUGAGCAGAGGAAGCUGUGCCCCCUCACUCCUACUCCAAGUGCUGGCUCAGUAUAAAAGGGAACAGCCCAGCUCAUUCUAGGCUGACUACCAGAGAGGAAGGAUGCAUGCUGCUGGCUCCAGCCUGGGAGUAGCUGAAGCUCCAGAUGGUGGGAGCUGGAGACGCUGAAACCCAGGCAGAUACCCAGAUACCUGGGGAUGCCUUGUGGAGGCCGCAGUCGCUCGGCGGUAGCGGAACCUGAGGAAACCGGAACCCUGAAGAUGUCCAGGCCACAGUAUCAGGGGGGCAAACACAGCAAACCACAUCCACGGAGAGAAGGAAGACCAAAUGAUGGGCUGGACCAACUGAGGGACUGGCAGGAAAAUACCCAUUUGGAUGGACUUAUGCAGUGCCUUGACCAAAAAGCAAAUUAUUUCACUGCGCAUAUAUAUAUAUAUAUAUAUAUAUAUUAGACACAGGGUCCUGGUUAUUAGGCUCAAUUUCUAGAGCAGCAAAUGGAUGCUUGGAGAGGUUAGGUUGCCUAUCUCUCGUCACCCAGCAAAUCAGUGGCCAAGGUGGGAGCACAACCCAGCAAUUCUGGUGCCCAGUCUGUUAGACUAAGUACUAGAGAGUACCUGCUUGUGAGCAAGGAUUGUGGCCAUCUCCUAGGUUUCCAGACGGCUGUGUUCAAAGCAAAACAUGCAGCUGGACAAAUAAUAUUGAUCAGACGUGUGUUAAGCCAUUUGUGACUGAUGCAAAGCACCAUCAAGACUGAUAGGAAAACAAGCUGUCAGCCCAGGAUGGAUGGGGCAAUUCUUUGGAUCAUUUUUUAAAAGGUGUCAGGGGCUUAUUGAAUUUCUCUUGGUGUUCUCAAGCUUUAAUGCUGCUAUGGAGAGAAACAUCCCAGUGAUGAAUUGGAUGUGGACUGACGCAGAAUUCCAGCAGACACCGAGAAGACCAUGGCACUGGCGAGGAUCAAUCUGGAUGACAAGUACUUGGCAUUUUAUGAAUGAGGGCUGUGCAGUUCCAAGAAAAAGAACCUUUAAAAAAUAAAUCUCUUCACCAAAAAAAUACUUACAGUGAAUUGCAAAAUAAAUGCUUGGCCAUUUCAAAUGUUUCUUUAUGAUGUGCAGAAAUAUCUCAAUACUAUUUUGGGGCGACCCUAGUUUCCUGCUUGGUUUUUUUUUUUUUUUUACAUUGGAAAUACCAGGUCCUCACUUUUCUCUGAGGAAACCCACCUGGGAUGAGGGGUGCAGGAGCUGUACAGGUGGCUUAGAGCAUUAUGGGCCUGAUGACAUGCCCACUGCUGUGACUGGGGCUUUCCCCAUUGAACUGAACAAGCUUUGGAUCAUGCCUCGUGUGACAUCACUUUCCAGGUCCUCCCAAGGUUUGCCAAGGUCAUUCAUCAAACUAGGCAAGGGAGCACCUGAUAUUCCAUUUUUUCCCUAAACUGGGAAAAUAAACCUUCUUUUGAGGCCCUCUUUUCACAUCAGAAAGGGCAAGGAUGAAGUUUUUUCUCUGAUGUUGCACUUUACCUUUGAGACUUAAAGAUUUUUAGAAUGAGUGUUCUUCAUGUGGUUAUAGAUGGGACAAAAAACGCAGGAUAACCUGUUUCAGUUGAAUACAGUAGCAUCUUUGUGUUAUACAAAGGUGUAGUAAGGAGGAGAGCAUCAGAUGCCCUCAUGAAAACACCAGUCCCAAAUACUGGUUUUCUUUUAUUCUGUAUCCAUUACAAAGAAACAGAGCAUAUUCCAGGGUGAAAUAAUUGCAGAAAUGUUUCCUUAAAUAGAAACAGCCUCUUAACGUCUCAGAUACAAAAUAUGAUGUAAAAAUGCAAAGACCAUUUUAUACAUAUUUAGGCCCAAUUUUCAAACACCAUCAGCAACAGCAGCUCUCAUUUAGGCAUCCUUGAUAAGUGGUCAGAUUUCCAAAUGGCCUUUGUUCACAGUGGGAGCUCUGGAAAACCUGUCCGUAGCUGUGAGUGCUGAGCGCUUUUGAAAUGUUUGCCAGCUUGACCUAUCGAGUUCAUCUAAAUUUUUCAAAGUAAUUAGUGAUUUUGGGGUACCUCAGUUUUUUGGGGGUGGGGCAAUUGGAGACACCUUAAAGGGCCUGGUUUUCAGAGUGGAUGCUCAGCUAUUUUGAGUUGUGUCAAGUUGGCCAUCCCAAAACUGAGGCACCUAAUAACCACUAAUCACUUUUGAAAAUUUAGAUUAUAUUGUAAAGCCAACUGAAUGGUUCAGAGUUAAUAUCCUUACAAACCUUCCCUUUUUCCUCCACAAUCCCCCCCCCCUCCCCUGCUCUGGGAUGUUGUGCUCCUUCAAUCGGUUUCCCAGGUUAGACAU